rnacentral:rRNA from 1 species
UACAGAGGUCUCAAGCGUUGUUCGGAUUCAUUGGGCGUAAAGGGUGCGUAGGCGGCGCGGUAAGUCGGGUGUGAAAUCUCGGGGCUUAACUCCGAAACUGCAUUCGAUACUGCCGUGCUUGAGGACUGGAGAGGAGACUGGAAUUUACGGUGUAGCGGUGAAAUGCGUAGAUAUCGGGAGGAACACCAGUGGCGAAGGCGGUUGCCUGGGGCUUUGCUGACGCUGAGGCGCGAAAGCGUGGGGAGCGAUCCGG